CCUACGGGAGGUAGCAGUGAGGAAUAUUGGUCAAUGGGCGGAAGCCUGAACCAGCCAAGUAGCGUGCGGGAUGAAGGCCCUACGGGUCGUAAACCGCUUUUGCACGGGGAUAACACCCUCCACUUGUGGAGGUCUGCAGGUACCGUGCGAAUAAGGGCCGGCUAAUUCCGUGCCAGCAGCCGCGGUAAUACGGAAGGCCCGAGUGUUAUCCGGAUUCAUUGGGCUUAAGGGGAGCGUAGGCGGGCGUUCAAGUCAGCUGUAAAAUCGCGCGGCUCAACCGCGCCCCGCAGUUGAAACUGGACGCAUUGAGUUGACAACAGGCAGGCGGAAUUCGUGGUGUAGCGGUGAAAUGCAUAGAUAUCACGAGGAACCCCGAUUGCGAAGGCAGCCUGCCGGGGUGCGACUGACGCUGAGGCUCGAAGGUGCGGGUAUCAAACAGGAUUAGAUACCCCAGUAGUC
rnacentral:rRNA from 1 species